rnacentral:lncRNA from 1 species
GUGGGCGUGGCUAAGAGCGGAAGUGGGGCUUUGAAGCCGCCAUGCGGGACCGGACGCGGGAAAUCCUCCAGGUCUGCGGGGGGCGCGGGAAAAAAAAAAAAAGCCGGGCGCUCUUAAAGGGGCCGCGCUUAAUUAAUGCGCUAAUUAGCGCUCAUUAACGAGGGGGGCCUCCGCCCGCAGGAUUACAUCCCCAGCGAUGAGGAAGGAGAAGAGACGGUGGCGUUGGUGGGGUUGAAGGCGUCCAGCGAGGAUGAGACGCUGUUGAAGGCGCGGGCGGUGCGGGCGGCGCUGCGCUCCAUGGAGCACAAGGUGGCGGCGCUGGAGGCCCUGCAGGAGGCGCUGCUGGGAAACGCCCUGCCUGACAACGAGCAGAAGCGAGCUCUGCAGGCGCAGCAGGAGGAGCUGCAGCAGCUCACCAACCAGACCCGCAGCCACCUCCAAGGUGGGACCCCAAAAUCCCCCAAAUCCCCCCCAAAAUCCCCCAUUUCCCCUCCAAAAUCCCUUAUCUCCCCCCCAAAAUCCCUUUGUUCCCCUCCAAGAAACCCCACAAGUCCAAAAAAUCCCAUUAUAGCAUCCCCAAAUCCCCAAAAUUCACCCCAAAAUCCCUCAUUUCUCCCUCAAAAUCCUCUUUUUCCCUUCCAAGAAGCCCCACAAGUCCAAAAAAUCCCAUUAUAGCAUCCCAAAAUCCCCCAUUUCCCCCCCCAAAAUCCCCUUUUCCUCCCCCAAAAUCCACAUAGGGUCCCAAAAUCCCCCGAAUCCACCCCAAAAUCCCCCAUUUCCCCCUCAAAAUCCCAUUUUUCCCCUCCAAGAAAACCCACAAGUCCAAAAAAUCCCAUUAUAGCAUCCCAAAAUCCCCCAAAUCCACCCCAAAAUCCCCUUUUUCCCCUCCAAGAAACCCCACAAGUCCAAAAAAUCCCAUUAUAGCAUCCCCAAAUCCCCCAUUUCCCCCCCUAAAAUCCCCUUUUCCUCCCCCAAAAUCCCCAUAGGGUCCCCAAAUCCCCCAAAUCUGCCCCAAAAUCCCCCAUUUCCCCCUCAAAAUCCCAUUUUUCCCCUCCAAGAAAACCCACAAGUCCAAAAAAUCCCAUUAUAGCAUCUCCAAAUCCCCUAAAUCUGCCCCAAAAUCCCCUAUUUCUUCCCCAAAAUCCCAUUUUUCCCCUCCAAAAAACCCCACAAGUCCAAAAAAUCCCAUUAUAGCAUCCCAAAAUCCCCCAUUUCCCCUCCAAAAUCCC